UAUAUACUCCCUCCGUCUCAAAAUUUUUGUCUUAGAUUCGUCUAAAUACAAAUGUAUCUAAUACCAAAACGUGACUUGAUACAUCCGUAUAUAGACAAAUCUAAUAAAAGAAUUUUCAGACGGAGGGAAUAGUUA
rfam:Triticum aestivum genome assembly, contig: Triticum_aestivum_CS42_TGACv1_scaffold_460146_5DS